rnacentral:rRNA from 1 species
AGUGAACGCUGGCGGUAGGCCUAACACAUGCAAGUCGAACGGCAGCACAGUAAGAGCUUGCUCUUACGGGUUGCGAGUGGCGGACGGGUGAGGAAUACAUCGUACUCUACUUUUUCGUGGGGGAUAACGUAGGGAAACUUACGCUAAUACCGCAUACGACCUACGGUUGAAAUCAGUGGAUCUUCGGACCUUGCGCGAUUGAAUGAGCCGAUGUCGGAUUAGCUAGUUGGCGGGGUAAAGGCCCACCAAGGCGACGAUCCGUAGCUGGUCUGAGAGGAUGAUCAGCCACACUGGAACUGAGACACGGUCCAGACUCCUACGGGAGGCAGCAGUGGGGAAUAUUGGACAAUGGGCGCAAGCCUGAUCCAGCCAUACCGCGUGGGUGAAGAAGGCCUUCGGGUUGUAAAGCCCUUUUGUUGGGAAAGAAAAGCAGCAGGUUAAUACCCCGCUGUUCUGACGGUACCCAAAGAAUAAGCACCGGCUAACUUCGUG